rnacentral:tRNA from 1 species
GGGUAUGUAGCUCAAAUGGUAGAGCGCUCGCUUAGCGUGCGAGAGGUACGGGGAUCGAUACCUCACUUCUCCA